GGGGGGACGGAGAAGGCUAGGUGGGCCUGGCGACGGUUGUCCAGGUUCAAGUGCGUAGGCUUGAGAGUUAGGUAAAUCCGGCUCUCUUUAAGGCUGAGACACGACGUCGAGCACCUACGGGUGUGAAGUCAUUGAUGCCAUGCUUCCAGGAAAAGCCUCUAAGCUUCAGAUUGUAAGGAAUCGUACCCCAAACCGACACAGGUGGUCGGGUAG
rnacentral:rRNA from 1 species